UUUCGCUUUUAAUUAACUUUUCGAUUUAAAGUAUUUGGUUUUAAAUUAUAAACUCGUUUUAUUUGGAAAUUAUUUGAUUAAAAGAUUCGACAUUUUAUUGGGUUUUAUAAAUCGGUUUAAUGCAGUAUCUUUUUGGUUAGUAGCACGCCGUUCUCGAGAGAGGAGGAGACUGGUGUUACAAUACUCUUUCACACCCAUUGUAGUGCUCAACAGUUGAGUCCCUAAGCCAAACUAGAGAAAUCACUACUAAUUGCUAUCUACAACUGAUUAAGUAAUGCAUAUUGCAAACGGUAAAAGAGUGAAAAUGUUGAACCUUUAAGCAAGAAAAAGGUGACAUCGAUUGAAGAAAUUCAAACUCACUCCACCAAUAUCGUCAUGAAGACUGUAUAUGUGUUACGACUAAAAACGAAAGAAAGCAAGAAAAAUCCGGCCUAAGCCACCGGGAACGUUAACUCCGGUGAAAAACGGUAGUUGCAUACUUGCAUAGGUAUUGCUCAGAGAAAAAACGGUUUUAUAUUUUGAUAUCCCCUACCUUCCAUUUAGAAUAGUUUUAGU
rnacentral:lncRNA from 1 species